CCAGACUGAGGUAGUAGGUUGUAUAGUUAAGAAAUACACCAUUUCAAGGAGAACUGUACAACCUUCUAGCUUUCCCUGG
rfam:Octopus bimaculoides Scaffold214458_contig_3, whole genome shotgun sequence.